CUACACCGCCGGAACAUCCCAGUACUUUUCCUCAAGCUUGAUAUAUCGAAGGCUUUUGACUCCGUCAAUUGGGCUUUCCUUCUUAAGGUUCUUUAGCGCCCGGGGUUUGGCCAACGUUGGCUGGACUGGAUUUGCAUGACCCUGGCAUAUUCGUCAUCUAGGAUCCUACUGAAUGGAAACCCGGGCAAGCUGUUCAGGCACGGGCAGGGCCUGCGUCAGGGAGAUCCGGUGUCGCCGAUGCUUUUCAUUCUGGCAAUAGACCCGUUGCAGCAGAUUCUUCAUCUCGCCUCUGAGCAGGGCAUCCUCAAGCCCAUCCGCACUCGUUCCGCCAGAUGUAGAAUCUCUCUCUUUGCGGAUGAUGCAGGCAUCUUUGCCAACCCU
rnacentral:rRNA from 1 species